AUACGGAAGGUCCGGGCGUUAUCCGGAUUUAUUGGGUUUAAAGGGAGCGCAGGCGGAGAUGCAAGCGUGACGUCAAAUUUCGGGGCUCAACCCCGUCUCGCGUCGCGAACUGCGUCCCUUGGUUGCGGGAAGGGGAGGCGGAACUCGUGGUGUAGCGGUGAAAUGCAUAGAUAUCACGAAGAACUCCGAUCGCGAAGGCAGCCUUCCGGCCCGUCAACGACGCUCAUGCUCGAAGGUGCGGGUAUCAAACAGGAUUAGAUACCCUGGUAGUCCGUACAGUAAACGAUGGACACCCGCGGUUUGGCCUGUAUGGCUGAGCCGCCAAGCGAAAGCGUUAAGUGUCCCACCUGGGGAGUACGCCGGCAACGGUGAAACUCAAAUGAAUUGACGGGG
rnacentral:rRNA from 1 species